GAUGAACGCUGGCGGCGUGCCUAAUACAUGCAAGUCGAGCGAACGGACGAGAAGCUUGCUUCUCUGAUGUUAGCGGCGGACGGGUGAGUAACACGUGGAUAACCUACCUAUAAGACUGGGAUAACUUCGGGAAACCGGAGCUAAUACCGGAUAAUAUUUUGAACCGCAUGGUUCAAAAGUGAAAGACGGUCUUGCUGUCACUUAUAGAUGGAUCCGCGCUGCAUUAGCUAGUUGGUAAGGUAACGGCUUACCAAGGCAACGAUGCAUAGCCGACCUGAGAGGGUGAUCGGCCACACUGGAACUGAGACACGGUCCAGACUCCUACGGGAGGCAGCAGUAGGGAAUCUUCCGCAAUGGGCGAAAGCCUGACGGAGCAACGCCGCGUGAGUGAUGAAGGUCUUCGGAUCGUAAAACUCUGUUAUUAGGGAAGAACAUAUGUGUAAGUAACUGUGCACAUCUUGACGGUACCUAAUCAGAAAGCCACGGCUAACUACGUGCCAGCAGCCGCGGUAAUACGUAGGUGGCAAGCGUUAUCCGGAAUUAUUGGGCGUAAAGCGCGCGUAGGCGGUUUUUUAAGUCUGAUGUGAAAGCCCACGGCUCAACCGUGGAGGGUCAUUGGAAACUGGAAAACUUGAGUGCAGAAGAGGAAAGUGGAAUUCCAUGUGUAGCGGUGAAAUGCGCAGAGAUAUGGAGGAACACCAGUGGCGAAGGCGACUUUCUGGUCUGUAACUGACGCUGAUGUGCGAAAGCGUGGGGAUCAAACAGGAUUAGAUACCCUGGUAGUCCACGCCGUAAACGAUGAGUGCUAAGUGUUAGGGGGUUUCCGCCCCUUAGUGCUGCAGCUAACGCAUUAAGCACUCCGCCUGGGGAGUACGACCGCAAGGUUGAAACUCAAAGGAAUUGACGGGGACCCGCACAAGCGGUGGAGCAUGUGGUUUAAUUCGAAGCAACGCGAAGAACCUUACCAAAUCUUGACAUCCUUUGACAACUCUAGAGAUAGAGCCUUCCCCUUCGGGGGACAAAGUGACAGGUGGUGCAUGGUUGUCGUCAGCUCGUGUCGUGAGAUGUUGGGUUAAGUCCCGCAACGAGCGCAACCCUUAAGCUUAGUUGCCAUCAUUAAGUUGGGCACUCUAAGCUGACUGCCGGUGACAAACCGGAGGAAGGUGGGGAUGACGUCAAAUCAUCAUGCCCCUUAUGAUUUGGGCUACACACGUGCUACAAUGGACAAUACAAAGGGCAGCGAAACCGCGAGGUCAAGCAAAUCCCAUAAAGUUGUUCUCAGUUCGGAUUGUAGUCUGCAACUCGACUACAUGAAGCUGGAAUCGCUAGUAAUCGUAGAUCAGCAUGCUACGGUGAAUACGUUCCCGGGUCUUGUACACACCGCCCGUCACACCACGAGAGUUUGUAACACCCGAAGCCGGUGGAGUAACCUUUUAGGAGCUAGCCGUCGAAGGUGGGACAAAUGAUUGGGGUGAAGUCGUAACAAGGUAGCCGUAUCGGAAGG
rnacentral:rRNA from 1 species